UACGUAGGUGACCAGCGUUGUCCGGAUUUACUGGGCGUAAAGAGCGCGCAGGCGGUCGUUCAAGUCGAGUGUGAAAGCCCCCGGCUCAACUGGGGAGGGUCACUCGAUACUGAUCGACUUGAAGGCAGGAGAGGGAAGCGGAAUUCCCGGUGUAGUGGUGAGAUGCGUAGAUAUCGGGAGGAACACCAGUGGCGAAGGCGGCUUCCUGGCCUGUUCUUGACGCUGAGGCGCGAAAGCUAGGGGAGCAAACGGGG
rnacentral:rRNA from 1 species